AUGCUGCCAGCAAGCGUGCAAAGAAGAGGAGGGGGAGCGAGCGCGUACAGGAGGAGGAGGAGGAGGAGGAGGAGUGAGGGAGAGACAGAGGGAGAGGGAGAGAGAGAGUGCAAACAAUGUCAUUCUGUUCAGGAGGCAAUGCUGCAGUCAACUUUGCCGCGCCAUGAAGGCACAUCACAAGCGACCAUGAGGCUCAGAGUGAGUGCAGAGAAGUUUUCCUCCUUGCCGCCCCGUGAGCGAUGCAGUCCGAGACUCAUCCGUAGGAGCAGGCUCAUACACCGGUCCGGCUGUUGGUGGCGUGUUGGAACAUGCCUUGACUUGUUGUGCUGCCUGAGUGGAGCAGAGAGAGAGAGACAUCCACAGAGACACAGAGGGAGAGAGAGGAAGAGAGAAGCUUGUGGUCAACACUUUGCCAGUGUGAAGUGACCCACACAAUGGGGGAGCCCUGCAGCCCUGGUGGACAGACUCCUGCUGAUGUCAACACCCAGAGUGCACUCACUGGAGACGAGCCUGGAUGGAGGAACUCCACUGCUGCCUGGCUGCGUGGUGAGUGUCAAAACUGUGUGUGAAUAAAAACCUCUCACAUAUAAUAUUACAACUGAGCACUUGUGCAAGCGUCUUGGUUAAUUGUUAUUGCAGAGAGAGGACCUCUACUUUAAAACUCCAGAAAGACUAAUUAGUGUGGGGAAAUCAAAAGAUACUAAAAUGAGGCCUUCAGAUCUGCUUAAUAAGUCCUGUAAAUUGACUGAAGUAUAAAUGAGAACAUGUUCAUUUGAAGUGUACAGCUUUAAGUAUUGUGAAAGCGUCCACACCGAGUCUUGAUGCUAACCCGAUGCCAUGGUAACUAUACAAAAGGUUAUUGAAUGCAGUGAUACACCCGGACACACACUUACCAAUCACACAGUGGCACAGUAACCUCCGCACAGACAGAGCACCACCGUUGACCCUUUCACAAGCCCCUGGGGACUCGGCGAUCAUUGUCUGACCACAGUUUGAUCCUCACAGAGAAGGACAGCUGUUUUUGUUAUUGUUUUCUCUUCUGGCCAGAAUGAAAGCUGGUUUCCACCGGGAAACCCAGCAGACCACGUCUCCUCUCUGAAAAAGCAGAAACCAGACAGAGGAAGAGUUCUGAGUUCCUAAUUUUUUACAACGGAGUCCAGAGAAUUAAAAAAUUAGUCAUUUUAAGUCAAGGGUUGUCAUAAGAUUACACACGAUGUACAUAGAAAUAGACAUGCUGUCAGACUGUCCACACUGUCACACUUAAAAGCUUCAUCUUACUGACUAGCGCUGCACUAAAAACUCAAAUACAUUAGUCACUCAAGUGACUCAAAAGAUAAUCAUUUAGUGUCUUGUGUACUAUGAUCCGUGUAUUUUGCUCCUGUGUGGUCAAGCCUGCAGAUAGUUACUGGGGCAACUCUAUUUUCAGGUAACCACAGGUAGUGUGUACCGUGGGUAAUACUCAAAACCAUUGAAUUAUUAACUGCACAUGCAGAAAUGAAUUCACGCCUCUGAAAAUAGUUCAAAAAUGUACAACUAUAGGUAGAGAACAGGCUUUUUUUGAAAAUUUCUAAUCAUAUUCCAUCGACUUAAAAUGCCUCCAGUGGUGAUUUUUAAUUCUCAAUUUAAAAUUAAAGUAUAAAGCAAAACUUAAAUUCACACUUUUGCUACAUAAACCUCAGGAGAGGCUUGGCUCCAGCAUGACAUCGUGUGAAGCAACAUUCAAAAACAUGGCUGUACAGUAAAUACUAGUGUCAUUGUUGGCCAUAAGAUGAUUAGGUUUGUGUAAAAGGAACUGGAGCAGAGAAGCAUGACUGUUUGAGCGUUGUUAGCUGACACUGGAACAACCAAGAAAUGCACAGCAGAGAGGAGCGCGGAGGGGUGGGUGCACAGGGUUUGUGAUGUUGGGUAGCUGGGAGAUGAGUGUGAUCCAGAAAGUGUAGGUGGGUCUGAAGUUGGGAUGUGUAUUAUAUAUAGCUGUGUUUCCACCCAGUCCCCAGAACUUUUGGUUCCAAGAAGUCCUUUUCAAGAACUAAAAAGGUUCCUUUUGCCAACAGAUAGACAACGAUAAGGCCAAUUAGUCCACUGACGUAUGAAAAGGUCAUGGAUUCUUUUUACACUAAAUUUGUCUGUGUAUGAAGACACCACAAUCAUCAACAUUCUAUUGACAUACAAUUAAUAAAAAGUGGAUUAGUGGUUUGAGGUACACAUUUUAAAAUAUGGUGGCUGUAAUAAAAUCAUGUAUAAAUCCUAUUUAAAAACAUUUAUACAUAUUAAAUGAUAUACUGUAUUAUAUAUACACAUUAUUUUUC
ensembl:lncRNA